rnacentral:rRNA from 1 species
UACAGAGGGGGCAAGCGUUAUUCGGAAUUACUGGGCGUAAAGCGUGCGUAGGUGGUUUGUUAAGUCUGUUGUGAAAGCCCCGGGCUCAACCUGGGAAUGGCAAUGGAUACUGGCAGGCUAGAGUGCGGUAGAGGGUAGUGGAAUUCCCGGUGUAGCGGUGAAAUGCGUAGAGAUCGGGAGGAACACCAGUGGCGAAGGCGGCUACCUGGACCAGCACUGACACUGAGGCACGAAAGCGUGGGGAGCAAACAGG